ACUAUCAUUAACUGAAUCCAUAGGUUAAUGAGGCGAACCGGGGGAACUGAAACAUCUAAGUACCCCGAGGAAAAGAAAUCAACCGAGAUUCCCCCAGUAGCGGCGAGCGAACGGGGAGGAGCCCAGAGCCUGAAUCAGUGUGUGUGUUAGUGGAAGCGUCUGGAAAGGCGCGCGAUACAGGGUGACAGCCCCGUACACAAAAAUGCACAUAUUGUGAGCUCGAUGAGUAGGGCGGGACACGUGGUAUCCUGUCUGAAUAUGGGGGGACCAUCCUCCAAGGCUAAAUACUCCUGACUGACCGAUAGUGAACCAGUACCGUGAGGGAAAGGCGAAAAGAACCCCGGCGAGGGGAGUGAAAAAGAACCUGAAACCGUGUACGUACAAGCAGUGGGAGCCUCUUAAUGGGGUGACUGCGUACCUUUUGUAUAAUGGGUCAGCGACUUAUAUUCUGUAGCAAGGUUAACCGAAUAGGGGAGCCGAAGGGAAACCGAGUCUUAACUGGGCGUUAAGUUGCAGGGUAUAGACCCGAAACCCGGUGAUCUAGCCAUGGGCAGGUUGAAGGUUGGGUAACACUAACUGGAGGACCGAACCGACUAAUGUUGAAAAAUUAGCGGAUGACUUGUGGCUGGGGGUGAAAGGCCAAUCAAACCGGGAGAUAGCUGGUUCUCCCCGAAAGCUAUUUAGGUAGCGCCUCGUGAAUUCAUCUCCGGGGGUAGAGCACUGUUUCGGCAAGGGGGUCAUCCCGACUUACCAACCCGAUGCAAACUGCGAAUACCGGAGAAUGUUAUCACGGGAGACACACGGCGGGUGCUAACGUCCGUCGUGAAGAGGGAAACAACCCAGACCGCCAGCUAAGGUCCCAAAGUCAUGGUUAAGUGGGAAACGAUGUGGGAAGGCCCAGACAGCCAGGAUGUUGGCUUAGAAGCAGCCAUCAUUUAAAGAAAGCGUAAUAGCUCACUGGUCGAGUCGGCCUGCGCGGAAGAU
rnacentral:rRNA from 1 species